rnacentral:rRNA from 1 species
GAUGAACGCUAGCGAUAGGCUUAACAUAUGCAAGUCGAGGGGCAGCAUGGUCUUAGCUUGCUAAGACUGAUGGCGACCGGCGCACGGGUGCGUAACGCGUAUGCAACUUGCCUCACAGAGGGGGAUAACCCGUCGAAAGACGGACUAAUACCGCGUACACUCCAUCUUGGGCAUCCAAGGUAGAGGAAAUGAAAUUCGCUGUGAGAUAGGCAUGCGUCCCAUUAGCUAGUUGGUGAGGUAACGGCUCACCAAGGCGACGAUGGGUAGGGGAACUGAGAGGUGGAACCCCCACACUGGUACUGAGACACGGACCAGACUCCUACGGGAGGCAGCAGUGAGGAAUAUUGGUCAAUGGGCGAGAGCCUGAACCAGCCAAGUCGCGUGAAGGAUGACUGUCUUAUGGAUUGUAAACUUCUUUUAUACGGGAAUAACAAGAGUCACGUGUGACUCCCUGCAUGUACCGUAUGAAUAAGCAUCGGCUAACUCCGUG